CAGCGCCGCGGUAAUACGAAGGGGGCUAGCGUUGUUCGGAAUUACUGGGCGUAAAGGGCGCGUAGGCGGCCAUUCAAGUUAGAUGUGAAAGCCCUGGGCUCAACCUAGGAAUUGCAUUUGAUACUGUUUGGCUUGAGUUCGGGAGAGGUGAGUGGAAUUCCCAGUGUAGAGGUGAAAUUCGUAGAUAUUGGGAAGAACACCGGUGGCGAAGGCGGCUCACUGGACCGACACUGACGCUGAGGCGCGAAAGCGUGGGGAGCAAACAGGAUUAGAUACCCGCGUAGUCCCUGUCUCUUAUACA
rnacentral:rRNA from 1 species